CCAAAGUUUUGGGACACUGCAUUAUAUUGUUGGAAGAUUUAUCAUGAUCCAUAUAUAAACCUACUGGUUUUAUCAGGAGCCGAUAAACUGUCACUAACAGUCUGCAGAUCUGCAGAGGUUUCACUCAGAGAGUAAAGCAUCUGUGUUAUCCUUUGCAGAGUUUGGAAUUACCAUAGAACUAUGAGCAAACCUUCAAGCAAAGAAUCACUCCAGACUUGAAAAGUGUAUGUGAGAUGCAUAUUAAGUAGUGCAUGGGAAUCAUAGAAUUCUAUUGAAAUUCCCAGAUAAGACCUCCAUGAUGCUGGAUGGAAGUUAGUAUGCACAGAGAAGCACAAAUGCAGGUUGUAAGAGGCACCGUGGGACAAGGACUCAGAAUUGCAGUCAGUUCAUCACCUCAUUUCUGCCACUCCUUCCUCCUCGGGGGGGGGGAGGACUCCUUGAACUUUUCUCUUGCUCCAGCAUGGGGUCCUCCAUGAGCUGCAGGUCAAAAUCUCAAUCUAGAAACUGUUUCCUGGUUGUUCGCUGAAGAGAGGUUGAAAAGUCAAGAUCCCCUGAAUCAGCAGCAGUAGAAGGGUUCUUCAGUUAAUUUAACCAACAUAAUUGCCUCAGCAAAGGUCAUGAAAAGUUUGCCUCUGGAACAUUACAAGAAAACCAAAGCUAAAUAUAUUCAUCUGUGCAAAAACUAGUGAAUGAAGAAAACUUCACGAAGUAAUGACAUCUACCAGCAAUAAACAACAACUGGAGCAUUUGGAAUUAUCAAAAUAAAAGCAAAGAAUUAAAAAGGACUUGCUUUUGCUCUAUAGAAAGAAAAUUUAGAAUUUAAUAUUAAUUAGUGUUGGUUUGCAGAGAAUAAUAUGGUGACAGCAAGCUAGAAAGGGAGAGAAACUGAAAGAAAGCAAUGCUUUUACACUGCUGUUCUGUAUUCCUGGUAUAUCCUUUCUUAACAUAACUGUUAACAUUAAAUAGAAUGCAACACGGUGCCAAAUGCUUCGGAGUUGAUAUGGACUGUGAGUAGGCUCUGUAUGUAAAUGUAUCAUUGCAAGGAUAUGUGAGAACAAACCACUCCGCCUACAUAGAGAGGUGUAAAUAGAUGCAUAUACUCCACAUAGGACCUGCUGGUAACAUGAUUUUUAUGUAUAAUCAUUAAAUGUUCU